AGGACCUCCCCUAUCAAUGGAGAGGGGCAUGGGAGGAGAUGAGGGAAGGAGGGUGGGAUUGGGAGGGAAUGAGGGAGGGGACUACAGCUGGGUUUUUAAUUAAAAAAUAAAUAAAAUAAUUAAAAAAAGAUUUCUACGAAUGGCUCAAUGGUUAGGAACACAGUGCUCUUGAAAGGUCCCAGAGUUUCAUUAUUCUUAGCACUCAUGUCAGUCAGCUCAAAGCUACCUGUAACCCCAGUUUCAGGAGGAAUCCAAUACCUCAGUCCUCUGAGGGCACCUGCACUCUUGUUCACCUUCUCACCUAUAGACAUACACGUAACAACAAUACAUGUUUUAAAAAUUUAUUUAUUUUAUAUUAAUUACAGUUUAUUUACUUUGUAUCACAGCUGUAGCCCCUCCCUCAUCCCCUCUCAAUCCCACUCACCCUCCCGCAUCUCCUCCCAUGCUCCUCCCCAAGUCCUGUUUUUAAAAGAUGUAUAGAACUCAUUCCCUUAGCUGUUAAGAUUUGAGCACUGGACUUCCUUAUGUAGCAGCAUGUGUUUCUAGAGGGUAGUAACUAGGCAUUGUAAAUACUGCUGAGAUGUCUGGUGAGGGGCCCAUAACUGAUCACUGGGUAACAUGAAGGUUGUUUGGGGCUUAAUUCUCUCACAUCCAAAUGUAUAUGUUGGCUAUGUAUAGUGAUUUGUGUUUGUCAUCCCAGCACCCAAGAAGAUAAAGAAGGAGGAUUACCAAGAGUUCCAGCCUGAGCUCCAUUGUGACUUCCAGGCUAGCCUGGGCUUCUGAGUGAGAACCUGGGAGUGGGGGCCAUGAAGAGGAGGAAGAGGGAAGAAAAUGUAUUUUGCUGCUUUGAGAAAGGAUCUCACUGUGUAGCCCUGGCCAGCCUUGAACUUGUGGGAAUCCUUAUACCUCUAUUUCCCCCAAAUGUUGGGAUUAUAUGUGUGUACCACCAGACCUGGUUUAUGCAAAACCGGGGAUUGAACCUAGGGCUUUGUGCCUGCCAUCUGUGAGUCUGCAGUCAUUGAUACCACUGCAAAAGAAGCUUCCUUGCCCUUUACAGUCAGCAGCAGCAUGGAUCAUGGACUUCUAUAUGGUUUCUGGCCGCAGACUGGAUAUCUAUAUGGCCUUCAGUGUCAGAAGGGACCAUGGUCUCUGGUGACAGUACAGACCACAGACAGUGCAGCAGGGAGCACAGAUACUGUCAUGGCCUUCGGCAGCAGCACAGUGGAUCUCUUCUGAAUGGGGUUAGUUCCCAUGUGAAAGAGAUUCAAGAGAGACCUCUGUCUCCUUCCACCAUACAAUGACAGCAAAAGACACCACUUAUGACCUAGAGAGUGGGCUACCAUUACACACCGAGAACAUCCUGACAACUUGGUUAUCAGAAUUCCCCACCUCUAGGGCUAUGAGAAUUUCUAUUGUUUAUGAGCCACCAACAGUCUAUGAGUAAGUGAACUGGAGAAAGAGAAAUGUAUGAAGAUGGAUGGAUAGUGCUGACAGCCCAGUUGAAGCUAGGCUAGUAAACAAUUGGGGUUGGCCAGGUUCAUGUUCUUGAAAUAUGGAAGAAAUAAAAUUUGAUGGUACAUUUUCAAA